UAUUGGAGCCCCAAGGGUUCAUGGGUAGCGUAUUUACAAAGGAGCCUCCUCCGCCAGCCCGUGCCACCGCUGCUAAUGAGAGCAGUCAUUAAGUAAAUGAGACGUCGCCUUUAGCUGGCUUAGGAGUUCGCACACUAAGGGGAGAAGAUAUUUAAUUGAAACCCGCACGCAGGCUUCCCCACAUGUGACCGCUGUACGGGAGGCAGCUGCCUUCCCUCUCCUCCCCCAGUCCACCCUGCACCCCCCAUGUAAAUUUCAUGAUUGCUUUCCGUGAUGUCAUUUUGAAAGAGGACAGACAAUAGCUGUGGGGAAAGAAAAUGAGUUCCGGGGUGAGCUGCUGAAUCAGAGGUGGACACACGGAGGCAAGGCCAGCAGCUGCAGGACCUCAAGACACCUUCUUGGCAGACACUGCAAGAUGAGCUUAGAAAAUGAAGACAAGCGAGCUCGCACCCGAUCCAAGGCCCUGCGAGGACCCUCCGAGACCACAGCUGCAGACCUCAGCUGCCCCACCCCGGGAUGCACUGGCUCAGGACACGUCCGGGGCAAGUACUCCAGGCACCGAAGUUUACAGAGCUGCCCCCUGGCCAAGAAGAGGAAGCUGGAGGGCGCUGAGGCUGAGCACCUGGUGUCCAAGAGGAAGUCGCACCCCCUGAAGCUGGCUCUGGACGAGGGCUGUGGUGUGGACAGCGACGGCAGUGAGGACACCGAGGUGAAGGACGCCUCUGUUUCGGAUGAAUCGGAAGGAACUCUGGAGGGGGCCGAGGCUGAGACAUCAGGACAGGAGGAGAUUCAUCGCCCCGAGCCAGCUGAAGGAAGGAGCCCCAUCAAGUCCCAUUUUGGAUCCAACCCCACUGGCUCCUCCAAGGGCAGCUAUAGCAGUUACCAGGGAAUCAUCGCCACUUCUCUGCUGAACUUGGGUCAAAUUGCUGAAGAGACUCUGGCGGCCAAGCCAGGCCCUGGCGUCGUGCACCUGCUUCAGGAGGCCACAGAGGGAGCCGCCAGCAAGGAGGGUGAAAAGGGCCUCUUCAUCCAGCCAGAGGAUGCCGAGGAGGUCGUAGAAGUCACCACCGAACGCUGCCAGGACCUGUGUCCCCAGUCCCUGGAGGAUGCAGCCAGUGAGGAGUCCAGCAAGCAGAAAGGCAUCCUGAGUCACGAAGAGGAGGAGGAGGAGGAGGAGGAGGAGGAAGAGGAGGAGGAAGAGGAUGAAGAAGAGGAAGAGGAAGAAGACGAGGAAGAGGAGGAGGAAGAGGACGAGGAGGAGGAGGAGGAGGAGGAGGAGGAGGCAGCUCCUGAUGUGAUCUUUCAGGAGGACACCUCUCACACCUCUGCCCAGAAGGCACCUGAGCUCCAGGGCCCAGAACCACCCAGUCCCAAGCCUGAGUACUCUGUUAUUGUGGAGGUCCGCUCGGAUGAUGACAAGGACGAGGACACCCACUCCCAGAAGUCAACAGUCACUGACGAGUCGGAGAUGCACGACAUGAUGACCCGGGGCAACCUGGGCCUCCUGGAGCAGGCCAUUGCCCUGAAGGCUGAACAGGUGCGCACGGUCUGUGAGCCGGGCUGCCCGCCUGCCGAGCAGAGCCAGCUGGGCCUGGGAGAGCCAGGGAAGGCAGCAAAGGCCCUGGACACUGUUCGGAAGAGCUACUACAGUAAAGAUCCUUCAAGAGCUGAGAAGCGUGAGAUCAAGUGUCCAACACCAGGCUGUGAUGGCACUGGCCACGUUACCGGGUUGUACCCUCACCACCGCAGCCUUUCUGGCUGUCCCCACAAGGAUAGGAUCCCCCCAGAGAUCUUAGCCAUGCAUGAGAACGUGCUAAAGUGCCCCACUCCCGGCUGCACAGGCCAGGGCCACGUGAACAGCAACCGCAACACGCACAGAAGUUUGUCUGGGUGUCCCAUUGCUGCCGCCGAAAAAUUAGCCAAAUCCCAUGAGAAGCAGCAGCCGCAGACAGGAGAUCCUUCCAAGAGCAGCUCCAAUUCUGAUCGGAUCCUCAGGCCUAUGUGCUUCGUGAAGCAGCUCGAGGUCCCUCCAUAUGGGAGCUACCGGCCCAACGUGGCCCCUACCACGCCCAGGGCCAACUUGGCCAAGGAGCUGGAGAAGUUCUCCAAGGUCACCUUUGACUACGCAAGUUUCGAUGCUCAGGUUUUUGGCAAACGCAUGCUUGCCCCAAAGAUUCAGACCAGCGAAACCUCACCUAAAGCCUUUCAAUCCAAACCUUUCCCAAAGGCCUCUUCCCCCAGGCACAGCCCCUCCAGUAGUUACGUGAGGAGCACUUCAUCCUCUUCUGCAGGCUUUGACUACUCACACGAUGCCGAGGCUGCACACAUGGCUGCCACUGCCAUCCUGAACCUCUCCACACGCUGCUGGGAGAUGCCUGAGAACCUCAGCACGAAGCCACAGGACCUCCCCAGCAAGUCUGUGGAUAUUGAGGUAGAUGAGAAUGGAACCCUGGACUUGAGCAUGCACAAACACCGCAAGCGAGAACAGGCUUUCCCCAGCAGCAGCAGCUGCAGCAGCAGCCCCGGCGUGAAGUCUCCUGACACCUCCCAGCGCCAGAGCAGCACCAGCGCCCCCAGCAGCUCCAUGACCUCUCCCCAGUCCAGCCAGGCCUCCCGCCAGGACGAGUGGGACCGGCCCCUGGACUACACCAAGCCUAGCCGCCUGAGAGAGGAGGAGCCUGAGGAGUCAGAGCCAGCAGCCCAUUCUUUUGCUUCUUCUGAAGCAGAUGACCAGGAAGUGUCGGAAGAGAAUUUUGAGGAGCGGAAGUAUCCGGGGGAAGUCACCCUGACCAACUUUAAGCUGAAGUUUCUCUCCAAGGACAUAAAGAAGGAGCUGCUCACCUGUCCCACCCCUGGCUGUGACGGCAGCGGCCACAUCACUGGGAACUAUGCCUCCCACCGCAGCCUCUCUGGUUGCCCUCUUGCUGACAAGAGCCUCAGAAACCUCAUGGCUGCCCACUCUGCUGACCUCAACUGCUUCUGCCUUGGCCCUGAUGCCCUUCCUCCAUGCUUAUGCCUUCUGUUUGCUGGGCUCACCCGUUUCUGCUUCUGCACCUCCCUGCCCCUACCUAACACAUGGGCAGGGCAGGCCCUGCAGGCACCAGCUAGCCUGCUUGACAGUCCCGCACAACCAGGCGCAAGCACCCAGAGGUUUCCAGGUAUCAGUGUCCUCUUGGGGUUGGAGUCAGGAACUGUUAUUGCCUUUGGUUUUCAUGCCUCCAGUUGUGCUGUGACUCCACAGCCUAUGUGACCCUGAGCCACGGGGAGCACCUCCUGGGCACUGGGGUUGAGUUGAAGCCUUGGAGGAAGGGGGUCCCAUUCUUGUCUCCUCAGGGCACCCCUCUCCAGGGGUGUCCCUCCCUCCCAUAGGCCUCUGUGUUGGGGGCCCUGAAUUCAGGUCAACACACCCCAUCUCAUUCCAUUCUGGGGCCAGACAGGAUCCCGGGCACUGGUGCCUCUAAGAUGAGGAAAUGAAAUUGCUGAAGGCUUCUGGGACCGUAGCUGGCUCAGAGCUGGACAGAAAGCUCUGAGUCUCCCAGAGCCCCCACCAGCAGCCUUGUCUCUGUUUCUCUCUGGAGGCUGCCCUGGCCCCAGCAGCCAGGAGGAGUGUGUCAUCGGGCCCUUCAGUUCCCACAGGGUGGGGUGCACCAUCUCAGUUUCCUUCCUGGAAGUUAAUAGCUUCCACAUAAGCAUUUCUGAGGCUUAGAUCACCACAGCCGAUUCACACAUGGACUUAUUCAUUCAUUCUGCCCCUCACUUUGUCUAGUCCUAGAAACCCAGGAAACACUCAGUCCUGCAGCUUCUGGGACUGUCCUCUCUCCCUCUUUCCUUCUCUUGCCAUCUUUCUUGCAUUCCUUUUUCCUUUUCCAGUUCUGCUUUCUUUUCUAUGAUUAGUUCCCAUGGUGUUUCCCAUUUGAGGGCCUGAAUAAUUGAAGGGCGAGAAAUGUGGCUGCGUGCACCCAGUGGCCCCAAUGUCACCGUGUCCUUUCUGUCCUGCUAAGUGGAUGCCCAGGUGGAUGAAAGGAGCUUGGCACGGCUCCGGCCUGGAGACAUGGCCAUCUGGGAGAGUUAGUGCUUUUUUAAGACUAAGAGCCUGUGAAGAACUUUGACUCCAAACUUCUUUAGAAAUAACGACCAAAAGCCUCCCCUGUGUGAAAGUGAACCACUCAUCAGCAUCGGCAAGGUGUGGGCAGGCAGCCAAGGCCUCCAGGCUCCUUCAGAAGCUCCACUCUCCCCCAGGGGCCUUUCCAUGGGAGGCCGCUUCCUCUCCCCACUCCGACCACUGCACGAGCUUGGGACGAUGGUGGUCCUGCCCCGCCACGUGUCCUGGUGUACCAACCUCCUUGCUCUCUGCCACCUCCUGUGUGAGGGGGCAUCAGGCACUGGCUCCUCCUGAUCAGCCUUGUGGCAGCCAUGGGUGAAGGUGGCCUUGAGAAAAAUGAGGUUCCUUUCUUGACCUCCCUGUCCACAACUGGCUGCAGUGACAGUCGGAUGAUGUGUGUUCUGUGUUUUAAGUGAAUCCCAAGGGUGUUCACUCUUCCCUCCCAUGUGUCUGAUGUGGUCAAGGGCUGGGAGGACAUGGUUGCCUCCGGCCACAGCCACACACACCUGCCAGGGCAUGACAGGCUUUGUGCAGAGUGAAGAAUGCCUGUCCACAGCACAGGGAUGGGGCUGAGAGAGGUGAGACCUGGUGUGUAUUGCCAAGGCAGAGGGUGUCCCUCAGACAUGGUGCUCCCUUCUGCCCAGAUGCGACACUCAGAAACAGGCAGUGGGAGGGGUGGAGGUGGCUCCAGAUUCCUGCAGCUGACCCUGGGGGUCCACAGGGCCAUAAGGGGCAUGCAGAGGGGACACCUGCUCCUCUGACUAUGUGAGCACUUUCCUCUCUUGGACACAACUCUUGAGAAAAGCCAUUGAAUCCGGCCUCAGUGAGGAGUGCAGGACGGCCCCACCUGUGUGUUAGGUACCUGACGGCCCCUUGGGAGUUAUACCCCCACCUGAGACUCACUCACAGAUGCCAUCGGGGAGUAUCUGCCCUGCUGCUGAUGCCACUCACAGCCCAAUGCUGUGCUUAUCCCCGUCGAGGCCUGGAGCUGCUGUGGGUCUGUCACUCUGGCACCUGAGUGGCCACUUGCCCACCGCACUGAACCGGAGCUCUACCCGAUGCUUUCCUGCCACUGAGACAAGGAGCUGGAGCCCCACGUGGCCACUUGAACAGCUACCAACCCAGGAAGGACAGGCAGGCCACCUUCAGUUCUCUGGGCUGGCCAGCAAGGUAUCCAACGUGUGGCCCACAGGGCAAGGAUGAAGGAACCUGAGACUCCCCACGAGGGCACCCCGAGAAAACUCCUAGGGGCUGAAGAGAAGGUUGCAAGAGGUGGGGCCAGCCCUGCUGUGCCACCAUAGCCCUUUGGGUGCCAGGCUGUGCCCGGCCGCAUCUUCCUCUAAGCGAGGAGAUGUCCUGCCCCAGUGGCCAGAUGUCACAUGUGCUGGUGGAAGACUCCGGUGAGGAAGGGCCGGCAGCACGGAAAGUGAGACGUCCUCCCUGGGGUCUGAGCACCACAGCAAAGUGCCCAUGAGUAGCAGGUGAUCUGGACACAAGCACUGAACUCUUGCCUGGCUCCUGCAGGGUCAGGAUGCUCGUGAGGGGUGAGGCACAGACAGCAGCCCUGACGGGGGAUGGAUCUACCCGCACAAUCAGGUCACCUCCUCCCACUCUAACAUCAGCAGGAACUCACAUAUUUUUCCUCAGUGGACAUUCGGAAGAAAAUAGCAUCCGUGCUUGUAAUAUUAAAGUGGAAUUUUGUACCACUUUACGUGAUGCAUUCAUCACAUAGUUUUGGGUGUAUAAAGUUGGACUUUUGUGCUUCUCCUUAGUCUGCUAUAAGCUACUGGCUGUGUGAACUCUGAAGUCACGCCACACAACAGCCAGGCCUGGCAUGGCCAGCGCUAUCUGCUAUGCAGCAGGUGUGCAAAAAAGCCUCUGUUCAUUUACCAGCCCAUAGUGGCAACCCUUUGUGAGGGCAAGCUCCCAGCCCGUCCAAGAAGAUGAACUGGUCUUAGGAUCUGGAGAACUCAUGCUUGAAGUUAUGGCUCAGAUAUGCUCUGAAUGCCUUUAGUGCAGCCUAGACCCUACAGAAGUCCAAGCUGGGAGCCCUUCGUGUCCUUGGGCUGCUGUGGACCCUGUAGGCCUGUCCCAGUGCCCAGGUUUGGUGUCUGGGUGUAAACCGAUGCUGGAGCAGCAGUUGGCUGCUGUCCUCUCAGACUUCCUGGUCUCCCUUGGGGAGACAGGGGAGCAAAGUACUGAAGCCCUGAGGUGAUCUCAUCAGACCUCUGUUGCUGGCAGUAGGCAGCUGGGGUGAACAUCAGUGAUGUUCCUCUGUGGACAAGGGAAUGUGAGUGGGCUCACUCAAGGGCUGUGCCCGGAAGGCUUUCCUCUGGGAGUCCCAGGGCUCUGGGCCGGUUCCAGUCUUCCCGGGCUCUGGUUCCAGUUCUGCUUUCCUCUGCAGGUGCCCCACGCCCGGCUGUGACGGCUCUGGCCAUAUCACAGGGAACUACGCUUCACACCGGAGCUUGUCCGGCUGCCCUCGUGCAAAGAAAAGUGGAGUC